rnacentral:rRNA from 1 species
UACGGAGGGUGCAAGCGUUAAUCGGAAUUACUGGGCGUAAAGCGCACGCAGGUGGCUGAGAAAGUCGAUUGUGAAAGCCCUGGGCUUAACCUGGGAAUUGCAGUCGAAACUACUCGGCUAGAGUAUGGGAGAGGGUAGUGGAAUUCCCGGUGUAGCGGUGAAAUGCGUAGAUAUGCGGAGGAACACCGAUGGCGAAGGCAAUCCCCUGGGCCUGCACUGACGCUCAUGCACGAAAGCGUGGGGAGCAAACAGG